UCUGCCUGUCUUGAAACUAGUUUUUGUAGA
rnacentral:piRNA from 1 species